UACGAAGGGGGCUAGCGUUGUUCGGAUUUACUGGGCGUAAAGCGCACGUAGGCGGGUUGUUAAGUCAGGGGUGAAAUCCUGGAGCUCAACUCCAGAACUGCUUUGAUACUGGCAACCUAGAGGCUGGAAGAGGUUAGUGGAAUUCCCAGUGUAGAGGUGAAAAUUCGUAGAUAUUGGGAAGAACACCAGUGGCGAAGGCGGCUAACUGGUCCAGAUC
rnacentral:rRNA from 1 species